AUUAAGUUCAUUCUCACACUCGUGCUCGUACAAAGCACAUCAAAAUUGUAAGUGCGAAAGAAAAUAUAUGACAAUUUUGAAUUCUUCUAAAACUACACCGUCUGUAGAUCCACAACGACGGCUGAUUAACACAUCCGAUCUCCAGAUGGCGAGAAAAAUUUUCAGUAUGAGUUUCAGCUGAACGUUAAGGUUGCCCUAUACGAGUUAACAAAUAAUCGUGGAGCUAUAUAUGUAACUGGCGCUAUAGACGACACACGAUACACAUACUAUCGAAACUUAGAUGCUAACAUUUUCAAGAAACCAAUUCGGGGUCUAUGGCAGGGGUCGUUACAUACAUUUCCUUUUACACUAAAUUUAUUGAUAUUUUAACAAUUUUCGCAAGCAGAAAGUUGUCCAAAUCCGAAUACACCAACACGAUAUAUACACAUUAGUUUUAAGCAUAAA